rnacentral:rRNA from 1 species
UACGUAGGGGGCCAGCGUUGUCCGAAGUUACUGGGCGUAAAGAGCGCGUAGGCGGGCCCUUAAGUGGGGGGUGAAAGGUUGGGGCUCAACCCCAACACUGCCUUUCAUACUGGGGGCCUUGAGUGCGGGAGAGGCGAGUGGAAUGGUCGGUGUAGCGGUGAAAUGCGUAGAUAUCGAUCGGAACACCCAUGGCGAAGGCAGCUCGCUGGCCUGCAACUGACGCUGGAGGCGCGAAAGCCGGGGGAGCGAACAGG